UCCGGUUUAUCACCGGCAGUCUCCACAGAGUUCUCGCCACUACGCGUUAGUAACUGUGGACAAGGGUUGCGCUCGUUGCGGGACUUAACCCAACAUCUCACGACACGAGCUGACGACAGCCAUGCAGCAUCUGUGGUGCACCCUCGAAGGUCACACGUUUCCGUGCGCUUGCAGCACCAUGUCAAGCCCAGGUAAGGUUCUUCGCGUUGCAUCGAAUUAAAGAACAUGCUCCGCUGCUUGUGCGGGCCCCCGCCAAUUCCUUUGAGUUUCAACCUUGCGGCCGUAGUCCCCAGGCGGUUCACUUAAUGCGUUAGCUGCGGCACCGAGGGAAACCCCCGACACCUAGUGCCCAUCGUUUACGGCGUGGACUAC
rnacentral:misc_RNA from 1 species